rnacentral:rRNA from 1 species
UACGAAGGGGGCUAGCGUUGUUCGGAAUCACUGGGCGUAAAGCGCACGUAGGCGGAUGAUUAAGUCAGGGGUGAAAUGCCAAGGCUCAACCUUGGAACUGCCUUUGAUACUGGCCAUCUGGAGUCCGGGAGGAGGUGAGUGGAACUGCGAGUGUAGAGGUGAAAUUCGUAGAUAUUCGCAAGAACACCAGUGGCGAAGGCGGCUCACUGGCCCGAUACUGACGCUGAGGCACGAAAGCGUGGGGAGCAAACAGG